rnacentral:rRNA from 1 species
UAAUAGUGUAUAUUAAAGUUGUUGCAGUUAAAAAGCUCGUAGUUGAAUGUUGGUGUCGAACGAGCGGUCAGCUUCGGCUGUACUGCUCUCUCGACUCCUUCCUUCUGUGGACUACGUCGCACUUUACUGUGUGGCGCUAGGACGCAGAUCGUUUACUGUGAAAAAAUUAGAGUGUUCAAAGCAGGCCGUACGCUUGAAUACAUUAGCAUGGAAUAAUGGAAUAGGACGUCGGGCCUAUUUUGUUGGUUCUAGGACCGUCGUGAUGAUUAAUAGGGACAGUUGGGGCCGUUUAUAUUCCGUAGUCAGAGGUGAAAUUCUUGGAUUUACGGAAGAUAAACUACUGCGAAAGCAUUCGGCAAGGAUGUUUUCGUUAA